CUACGGAGGGUGCAAGCGUUACUCGGAAUCACUGGGCGUAAAGCGCGCGCAGGCGGCCAUUUAAGUUGGAUGUGAAAGCCUACGGCUCAACCGUAGAACUGCAUCCAAAACUAUUUGGCUAGAGUGUGGGAGAGGAAGAUGGAAUUAGUUGUGUAGGGGUAAAAUCCGUAGAGAUAACUAGGAAUACCAAAAGCGAAGGCAAUCUUCUGGAACACUACUGACGCUGAGGCGCGAAAGCGUGGGGAGCAAACGGGAUUAGAAACCCCAGUAGUCC
rnacentral:rRNA from 1 species